rnacentral:ncRNA from 1 species
UCAAAAGUAAUGAUGGGAAGAGUAAGUAUGGAGAAUUCAUUACAGAGAGCCAGGGUAGGUGAAAGCUGGCAUGAAGGAACAUACUGAAGAUGGCCCCUGAACUGCAUAGCUGAGGUGUAUGCUAAGGUUAUGCCGGUGUUGCAACCGUUAUCCUUGCAAGGUGAUGAAUGUCACUUGCCGAGAUUAUUGCCGCGAGGCAAUAGUGAAUUAGGGUGGUAGCACGAGACAAUCCUCGUCCCUAUA